rnacentral:lncRNA from 1 species
CCAGUCAGUCAGCCAGUCAGCCAGCCACCCACCUGAUUCAGCUGUCUGUCAGACCUCCAGCCAGCCAGUCAGCCAGCCAGUCAGCCAGCCAGCCAGCCACCCACCUGAUUCAGCUGUCUGUCAGACCUCCAGCCAGUCAGCCAGCCAGCCAGCCAGCCAGCCACCCACCUGAUUCAGCUGUCUGUCAGACCUCCAGCCAGCCAGUCAGCCAGCCAGUCAGCCAGCCAGCCAGCCACCCACCUGAUUCAGCUGUCUGUCAGACCUCCAGUCAGUCAGCCAGCCAGCCAGCCAGCCAGCCAGCCAGUCAGUCAGUCAGUCAGUCAGUCAGCCAGCCAGCCACCUGAUUCAGCUGUCUGUCAGACCUCCAGCCAGCCAGCCAGCCAGUCAGCCAGCCAGCCAGCCAGCCAGCCAGCCAGCCAGCCACCUGAUUCAGCUGUCUGUCAGACCUCCAGUCAGCCACUGGGUAAAGAAAGCUGCCUUUAAUCUGCAGUCUAGAAGAAUUCAGAGGGAUUCAAAUGUGCCAGGAUGAAGAAAAUCUCCCCUCUGAAUGUGUUGUGCAGAUGAAGCUGAAGGCAGCGAUCUUCAUCAUGUGGAGGGGACAAAUGAUCAUCCAGUUGAUGAAUCUGGAGAGGCCAGCGAACUCUGCCCGCCAGUAUGUGGAUGAAGGUUUUCUCUCCAUGACAGCUGUCAAAGCAGCUGUGUUGUCAUGACAACAGAUUACAACACAGCUGAAACAAGUCUUCGAUCAUCAUCAUCAUCACCAGCAGCAGUUUGAUGCCUUCUACCAGUGAAUCUAUCAAGCUUUACUUCUGUUGUUGCCAUGGUGAUUUUGAAGCUGAUGAUUUGUUUGAUUGACAGCUAUAAAUAAACAGUUGCAUCA